rnacentral:rRNA from 1 species
UACGGAGGGUGCAAGCGUUAUCCGGAUUUACUGGGUUUAAAGGGUGCGUAGGUGGGCGAGAAAGUCAGUGGUGAAAUCUCCGGGCUUAACCCGGAAACUGCCAUUGAUACUAUUUGUCUUGAAUACUUUGGAGGUAAGCGGAAUAUGUCAUGUAGCGGUGAAAUGCUUAGAUAUCAGGAGGAAUACCGAUGGCGAAGGCAGGUCUCUGGGCUGACACUGACGCUCAUGCACGAAAGCGUGGGGAGCAAACAGG